AGCCACGUGAGGAUGUUCACUCCGCUUACUGGUCAGAUGUGUGUGGGGCGGGAGCAAGAACAUAAACACAGGAAGAAGGUCCGGAAGAAGCUCCUCUGGCCAGAUGCAACAUUCUUGUUGUACUAGUCCAGUACAUCGGUCCUUGUUGAGGUCAUGGCCACCUGUGAUGCCUCCACCAUGCCUGCUACAUACAGCAGACUGGUGUACUCACCUAUGACCCCCUUCAACGGAUGGCAAGCUCAUUUACA